CUUAGGGGGAAAAGGAAAACUCCUUUGCUCAUUUCUGAUUUCAUUCCACAGAAAACCUUUUUCUUUCUAAGUGUCAAACCCUAACUCUACUCCACCUUCUCUCUUCUUUUUUAGAAAUUUGAACCGUACAAAAUUUCAUUUAGUUCCUUCAAAUUGUUCCUGGCAUCGAGGGCUUCCGUUCGAACCCACCAUCUCACUGUUUCAUCGAGUCUCUCGGUGCCCUAAUUGCUAGGAAUACUUUAGAAGCGUUGAGUGAGCUUGUUGUUGCUUGUUUCCAGAGGAGAAUGAGCCCACGUUGGAGGAUGUCCUGGAAGAUUCUGAAAACACAGAUGUUGCUGCCUAGACCUUUAGGGAUUUUAUUUUGCUCUUCCUAUGUUCUGUAUUUUUGAAAUACUUAGAGUUCCUUCCACGUUUUUAAAUUUCCUCUUGUUUCUGGAUUACUGUAAUCACAACCUGAUUAACUUUCCUGCUCUUAAACUGCUCUCUUUUAUUAUCUAUGUGAACA